rnacentral:rRNA from 1 species
ACUCCUACGGGAGGCAGCAGUGGGAAUAUUGGACAAUGGGCGAGGGCCUGAUCCAGCCAUGCCGCGUGCAGGAAGAAUGCCCUAUGGGUAGUAAACUGCUUUUAUACGGGAAGAAAAAGGGGCACGUGUGCCCUGUUGACGGUACCGUAAGAAUAAGGAUCGGCUAACUCCGUGCCAGCAGCCGCGGUAAUACGGAGGAUCCAAGCGUUGUCCGGAUUUAUUGGGUUUAAAGGUGCGCAGGCGGACUUUUAAGUCAGUGGUGAAAGCCGGUAGCUUAACUAUCGAAUUGCCAUUGAAACUGAAAGUCUUGAAUGCGGUCGAGGUAAAUGGAAUGUGUCAUGUAGCGGUGAAAUGCUUAGAUAUGAUACAGAACACCAAUUGCGAAGGCAGUUUACUAGGCCGUUAUUGACGCUCAGGCACGAAAGCGUGGGGGAGCGAACAGGAUUAGAUACCCUGGUAGGUCAGUC